CAAAUCUCGUGAGCCGUAUCGGCUUUGUGGUACAUUGUAAUUCGGUUAUGCAUCACAGCACGAUUCGGCUCGCGAAGUGUUAAUUUUUCAU